UAAUAGACGCCGAUAAAUAUGAAAAUAUCAAGAAUGUCAGCAAAUUAGUAGGGGAGAGGGGGGCAAUUUAGAACAGAGGCAGUUUUGAAUUAUUUGAUUUAUGAACGCAUCGUUUGUCUUUCCUAACCUCCAAUAUCUUUUUAAUACUGGUAACACCGAACUACACGUCUGUCAAUUGCCAAUUCACGUCAAUGUCAAACAGAAUAAAAUUGGUCGGUUACUUUACGGAGACGUAACCAAAGCAAACAUUUUUACUUUUUAUUAUAAGCGGAUUACUGAAAGCUUAAAAAUCAUAUUGGUAAGAAAUUACAAAAAGAAAAAAGAAAAUGAUGGUAACGAAGAAGACGCGGAGAGAGCCGUAUUGUGUGUUGUCAAUAAUAACAUGAAACUGAGGACCGCUGCUGCUAUAUACAAUAUAAAACCAAUCACUUUGUACUAAAGAAUAAAGAAAUAUAAAGAGAAUAUAACGCCGAAAAAUAUUAACUAUAGCAGCAAACACACUGUAUCAAGUUUUCACUAAUGAUGAGGAACUUAUGCUGGAAAGAACAAAAUGGAAUCACGAGGAAGAAUUUUUUUAAGUAUGGUUCUUGAUGAUUAAGCCAAUAGGCAUACCAAGGCAAUUGAUGACCCUCAGAUUGCUGAGUAUGGCAAUACUGGCAAUGAAAAUGAUCACAAUACGGCAAUAACUACUCCAAACAUUAAUACAUUUACGGAUUUGUCAAAGAGAACAAUGGUUGAAAAAUGGAUAGAUUGUAAUGACUUUGAAAAUCAAGAUACUAUGCUGUUAAACUGAGACUUCAGAAGCAGUUAAUACACCCAUGAUAACUGCAUCGGAAAAAGAUGAUAUUAUGGUUGAGAAAUGCAUAGACAGCAAUGACUAUAAAAUUCAGAAUCCUCUAUUAGUGGAUAUUUCGGAUGGAAAAAACCCACCCAUUAUAAAUACAACCUCGGGUAACAAGGCUUCCGAUUCCUCAAAUAAUGAAGAUUUUUCACCAUCAGAAGGUUCAGAACAUAAGCCUCCAAGUCAUUGUCAUUGAACGCAACAGUAGAUCUUCUUAACCCAGAAACUUG